rnacentral:rRNA from 1 species
AACGAACGCUGGCGGCAUGCCUAACACAUGCAAGUCGAACGAGACCUUCGGGUCUAGUGUCGCACGGGUGCGUAACGCGUGGGAACCUGCCCUUAGGUUCGGAAUAACUCCCCGAAAGGGGUGCUAAUACCGGGUAAUUUCUUCGGACCAAAGAUUUAUCGCCGUUGGAUGGGCCCGCGUUGGAUUAUCUAGUUGGGGGGGUAGAAGCCUACCAAGGCGACGAUCCGUAGCUGGUGUGAGAGGAUGACCAGCCAGGCUGGGACUGAGACACGGCCCAGACGCCUACGGGAGGCAGCAGGGGGGAAUCGUGCACAAGGGGAGAGAGCCUGAUGCAGCGACGCCGCGGGCGGGACGAAGGCCGUCGGGUUGGAAACCGCUGUCAGCAGGGACGAGGCGAUAAGUGACGGUACCUGCAGAAGAAGCCCCGGCUAACUACGUG